GGUAGUCCACGCCGUAAACGAUGAGAACUAGCUGUCAGGGCUCUUGGAGCUUUGGUGGCGAAGCUAACGCAUUAAGUUCUCCGCCUGGGGAGUACGGCCGCAAGGUUAAAACUCAAAGAAAUUGACGGGGGCCUGCACAAGCGGUGGAGCAUGUGGUUUAAUUCGACGCAACGCGCAGAACCUUACCCAGGUUUGACAUGGCCCUGCAAGCCGGUGAAAGCCGGUCGCCUUCGAGGGUGGGCCACAGAUGCUGCAUGGCUGUCGUCAGCUCGUGUCGUGAGAUGUUGGGUUAAG
rnacentral:rRNA from 1 species